rnacentral:tRNA from 1 species
GGCUUUUAUUUUGCCACACUGCAAAUGUGGUUUUGCUUAUAGCAAAAGUCU